CAACAAGCGUUCGACGAUAACCUCGAG
rnacentral:sRNA from 1 species